AUGGUUCCAAUCGUUUUUUCCCCCAUUCACUUUACCGUCAGGGAUUUUAGAACUACUUCAUAUAAGGUUUGACUUUCGUGUARGCUUACCCCGGCGUGAUGUUUUGAUAACAGCGCAAAUCUCUCUCGGAUAAGGUACUGACAGGAGGCAAGACGAGAACGCUGAUCCAGUGCACUCAGGAUCCCAGACCCUGUGACUUAAAGCCCUGACCACUGCACAUCCUUCCCUGUAGCCAUUUUUAAUGCCUUGAUGUCCUUAUUGUUAUCUGUGCCCCACUUUACAGACAACACUCCAUCCAACGACUGUAAACACCUUGAAAUGCAUUCAUUCUAAGAAAUGUGCUAUAUAAAUAAAGUUUGAUUUGAUUGAUGACAUUACAGCUAUAGAAUAUUUAAUAAACUGUCAUUUUCACAUGAGGAUAAGUGCAGUUUUUCCAUAAACUUGUAAUUGAUAACUUGGGAAUGCAUGUAGCACAUUGAAUAAAUACUGUGCCUUUGAA